CGGCCCCUACGGGCGGCAGCAGUGAGGAAUAUUGGUCAAUGGUCGGGAGACUGAACCAGCCACGCCGCGUGAGGGAUGAAGGUACAGAGUAUCGUAAACCUCUUUUGUCAGGGAACAAAGGCGGGGACGUGUCCCCGGAUGAGUGUACCUGAAGAAAAAGCAUCGGCUAACUCCGUGCCAGCAGCCGCGGUAAUACGGAGGAUGCGAGCGUUAUCCGGAUUUAUUGGGUUUAAAGGGUGCGCAGGCGGUCUGUUAAGUCAGUGGUCAAAGCCCGGGGCUCAACCCCGUCCC
rnacentral:rRNA from 1 species